AUGCACUAUGACAAUAACAGAGGUCAAGACAGAGAUGCCCACUUCUACAGAUCAAUUGCCAAAGCUCCUAAAAUAGAAUUCCCUAGAUUUGAUGGUACAAAUCCAAUGGAAUGGCUUCGGAUGACAGAGAAAUUCUUUUCUAUGGUCCAUGUACCAGAAGAAGCAAAAUGGGACUAUGCCCAGAUGUAUCUCACUGGUAGAGCUGAUACUUGGUUAAGAAACUCUGGCAUUCUUCAGGAAAACUUGACAUGGGACCAGUUCUGUGCAGCAGUCCUUAAAUGAUUUUCUAGAGAUAGCUCUUAUGAGAUAGUGGAAAAUUUCAACUCCUUCAAAUAGGGAGAGGAAAGAAUGGCUGCAUACAAAAAAGAGAAUCCUGGUGCUGCUGAAGGAUACUAUGUCAAGUGCUACAUCAAUGGGUUAAGACCUGAAAUCAAACACUACCUCAAGACCUUUAAACCAAUUACACUGUAUGAUGCAGUAGAAAAUGCCAGGGGCAUGGAAAUGGGAGUUUAAGCCCAAGCAAACCAGAAAAGAUAUACACCCAAUAGUGGGUAUGCGAAAACAAACAGCUCUGCUCAUUUCCCCAAUAAAUAUAAGCAAAAUGAGACACCACAGAGGAGGGAAGGAGAGGACAAGACAACUAAACCUGAAUAGAAGUUCAGAGAGCCUGGGACUUGCAGAUAUUGUGGAGGCAAGUGGUUCUUUGGCCACAAAUGUGCACAAUAUAAGACACUUAACCUCAUGGCCACUGAAGAGCAUACUGAAGAGUCACCUGAUGAAAUGUUGCAAGGAUAG
rnacentral:rRNA from 1 species